ACAUUGAACCUUCGGGGGAUUUGUUGGGCGGCGAGCGGCGGACGGGUGAGUAAUGCCUGGGAAAUUGCCCUGAUGUGGGGGAUAACCAUUGGAAACGAUGGCUAAUACCGCAUGAUAGCUUCGGCUCAAAGAGGGGGACCUUCGGGCCUCUCGCGUCAGGAUAUGCCCAGGUGGGAUUAGCUAGUUGGUGAGGUAAGGGCUCACCAAGGCGACGAUCCCUAGCUGGUCUGAGAGGAUGAUCAGCCACACUGGAACUGAGACACGGUCCAGACUCCUACGGGAGGCAGCAGUGGGGAAUAUUGCACAAUGGGCGCAAGCCUGAUGCAGCCAUGCCGCGUGUAUGAAGAAGGCCUUCGGGUUGUAAAGUACUUUCAGCAGUGAGGAAGGAGGUGUCGUUAAUAGCGGUAUCUUUUGACGUUAGCUGCAGAAGAAGCACCGGCUAACUCCGUGCCAGCAG
rnacentral:rRNA from 1 species